UCCGGUAACCCUUUUCUCAUCUCCAAUUUUUUUCCGAAAAUCCCACCUCUUAUCAUUCGCACCCCCGGCGUUCGUUAGUCUCCGCCAUGGCAUCUUCUCGCCCGCCUCCACAACACCCUCUCGAUCUCGACAUCACGGUCGUGUCAGCCAAACACCUCCAAAACGUAAACUGGCGAAACGGCGAUCUUCAGCCCUACGCCGUCUUCUGGGUAGACCCGGAACGCAAACUCGCCACCAGACCCGACGACUCGGGCUCGAUUCGCCCUGUCUGGAACGAACGGUUCACACUCCCUCUGGCCCAGCCCCUCAAAGACUCCUUACUCACCCUCGAAAUCUUCCACUCCAAACCCUCCGAAACCCCUAAACCCCUUGUCGCGUCCCUCCGCUCCCCUCUCCAAGACCUGAUCGAUUCAGACGAUUCCAACCGAGUCAAGACCCUCGAGCUCCGUCGCCCAUCCGGCCGCCCGCAGGGCAAGAUCCGGCUAAAAAUCGCCAUCCGAGAACGGCCAGCACCGCCCCCUCCCACCCCAGAUUACCAAAUUACCCCUCCGUCUGGAUAUUAUUACUCCACCGCCCCUCCGCCCCCACCGAGAGAUUACAGAGGCGGGUUUUCGCCGUCUCCGUACGUAAACCCUCCGCCGCCUCCUCAAUCUCAAUACCCAUACGGGAAUUAUGCCGACCCGUACUCCGGAUACUAUCCUGGUUACUACUCGCCAUCCCCGCCGCACCCUCCCCGCCCAUUCUUUGAUCGGGUAGCUAGUUACAGUAGUGGGCCCAGCGGGCCAUCGGCCCCCUUUGAUUUUUCUUCGUCGGCAGGUUCUGUCUAUGAUCAGAAGCCGAGGGGGAGUAAAAUGGGGAUGGGCACUGGUUUGGCUGUUGGGGCUGUGGCUGGAGCGUUGGGUGGUCUGGCUUUGGAAGAAGGAUUGAAGUAUGAGGAAGGGAAGAUUGCAGAGAUGGUGCAGAGUGAUCUUGCGGCACGUGAAGAUUACAACGGUUAUCUUGCAGAGAGGGUGCAGAGUGAUAUUGCGACAUGUGGAGAUUACAGCGGUCAUCGUAGUGACUACUGAGAUGGGUGGCUGUUAGGAGCGACACUUGUAGCGAUACCGACAACUCGAACAUUGCCGGUGACUACCUUCAAUCACUCCUAGUGCCGAUGAUCGCCGUCAAUAGAUGAAGUGCGGUUGUAGUGAGAAAGAGAUGGAAUGAGCAGAGAGACGGAAGAUGGGCAAAACAUGAGAAUGAGAAGAAGUUUUCUUUUGAAGAAAAAGUCCAGCGGUCGGAUUUCCUACCAUUGGAGGAUUCCAUGCAUGGAAGUGCCGACAAUGGAUAAGGUGUAGUAGAGAAUAGACUGUUUCCGGAUGCUGAUCCAAAGGUUGCAGGGGAGCAGCUGAAGGAUUCGCCGUGUAUGCAGAGAUGCAAGGAUGCCCUCAGAGUGUAAAAAGGUUUCUUUUCCUUCUCUGGAAAUUGAUAAGAAUAUCCAGAGUGGAAACCUGAACAGACUUUGAUUUAUUUAUUUUUAAUAAAUAGGUGGAAACAAUGAUUCCAUGGAAA